rnacentral:siRNA from 1 species
UGAGAUUCAGCCCUUUGUCGCUA